rnacentral:misc_RNA from 1 species
GAUGAAGAACGCAGCGAAAUGCGAUAAGUAGUGUGAAUUGCAGAAUUCAGUGAAUCAUCGAAUCUUUGAACGCACAUUGCGCCCCUUGGUAUUCCAUGGGGCAUGCCUGUUCGAGCGUCAUUUGUACCUUCAAGCUUUGCUUGGUGUUGGGUGUUUGUCUCGCCUUUGCGUGUAGACUCGCCUUAAUAUAAUUGGCAGCCGGCGUAUUGAUUUCGGAGCGCAGUACAUCUCGCGCUUUGCACUCAUAACGACAGCGUCCAAAAGUACAUUUUACACUCUUGUCCUCGGAUCAGGUAGGGAUACCCGCUGAACUUAAGCAUAUCAAUAAGCGGAGGA